CCUACGGGUGGCAGCAGUGGGGAAUAUUGCACAAUGGGGGAAACCCUGAUGCAGCGACGCCGCGUGAGUGAUGAAGGCUUUCUGUGUGUAAAGCUCUAUCAGCAGGGAAGAAAAUGACGGUACCUGAUUAAGAAUCCCCGGCUACCUCCGUUCCAGCAGCGGCGGUAAUACGUAGGGGGCAGGCGUUAUCCGGAUUUACUGGGUGUAAUGGGAGCGUAGGCGGCUGAACAAGUCUGGAGUGAAAUGCCGGGGCUUAACCCCGGAAUUGCUUUGGAAACUGUGAAGCUAGAGUGCAGGAGAGGUAAGUGGAAUUCCUAGUGUAGCGGUGAAAUGCUUAGAUAUUAGGAGGAACACCAGUGGCGAAGGCGGCUUACUGAACUGUAACUGACGUUGAGGCUCGAAAGCGUGGGUAGCAAACAGGAUUAGAUACCCCAGUAGUC
rnacentral:rRNA from 1 species